rnacentral:rRNA from 1 species
ACGCUCGACACCUACGGGCAGCAGUAGGGAAUCUUCCACAAUGGGCGCAAGCCUGAUGGAGCAACACCGCGUGAGUGAAGAAGGGUUUCGGCUCGUAAAGCUCUGUUGUUGGAGAAGAACGUGCGUGAGAGUAACUGUUCACGCAGUGACGGUAUCCAACCAGAAAGUCGCGGCUAACUACGUGCCAACAGCCGCGGUAAUCUGAGCGGGCUGGCAAGGC